UCAUUUGUCUCCCCUUUCUGCCUGGGAGUACCAGCAGACCAGUCAUGUUUUAAGUGUGGUCUGUGUACUGGUGCCAGACGGUGAACUUUGCCACCAGUUUUUGAUGGGAUAAAUACAAACAGGCAGGGCUUGUGGCAGCAGAGAUGCUCAGUAAGUGUUUGUGGGCAGGGUUUGUGGCAGCAGAGAUGCUCAGUAAGUAUCUGGUAAGUGAAAGAAUGCUGGAGCUGGAAGGGGUCCUUGGGAUCUGCUAUCCUAACUUCUUUAUUUUACUGAGGAGGAGAGAGGAUAUGCCUAAAGGUGAAAGGAUUUGUUGGUGGCAGAGCCAGAACAUCUGAUCCUUCACCCAGUGCUCAUUCCCCUUCUCUGUAUUGCUGGCAGGAAUCAGAGUGUGGAGCUUCAACAGAGGACAGACAGCCUGAGGCAGAGCUGAUUCCCUCCGCAUCAGGCAGUGCCGCCAGAUGGACAGACGGUGAAGUGUAACAAGAAGCGAACUCGAAGUUUUGGGUCCUGACAACAAGCCAAGAGGCUGUUAAAGGAGAUGGCACCACUGGAAAGGAUCUUUGCCUCAGGCAGGGAUGGUGGGGAAUUUAAGAACUCAUUU
rnacentral:antisense_RNA from 1 species